UACGUAGGGGGCGAGCGUUAUCCGGAUUCAUUGGGCGUAAAGCGCGCGUAGGCGGCCUGCUAGGUCGGGAGUCAAAUCCGGGGGCUCAACCCCCGUCCGCUCCCGAUACCGGCUGGCUUGAGUCUGGUAGGGGAAGGUGGAAUUCCCAGUGUAGCGGUGGAAUGCGCAGAUAUUGGGAAGAACACCGGUGGCGAAGGCGGCCUUCUGGGCCACGACUGACGCUGAGGCGCGAAAGCUAGGGGAGCGAACAGG
rnacentral:rRNA from 1 species